rnacentral:tRNA from 1 species
UCCCUGGUAGCUCAGUUGGUAAAUAAUCUGCCUGCAAUGCAGAAGAUCCAAGUUCGAUUCCUGGGUUGGGAA